rfam:Picea glauca, whole genome shotgun sequence.
UUUCAGGACUUUUUCAAGUCCACUCUCCUACCUAUGAAAAUGUUA